GAUGAUCCAAAACGGCAUGGUCGUAGUAGGCGCGCGCAUGGACACGGCAGCAUAGCUGCCCGGCGAAAGCACCCAUGCGCGGAUAAAUCGGCCCCUCACAGGGGCCUUUUUGUUGCCCCGU
rnacentral:sRNA from 1 species